UCUUUCAAAAACAUUAAAAUCAUACCGACCCCAAAUUUUUGAACCGUAGUGUACUUAAAAAAACAGCCUCACAAUAUUGCAUGCUAUAUUCAGCGAGUAGCAUUAAUAAUUCCUGAAUAAAUGUGAUUACUUCAAUACAAUUGUGUACCGCACAUUUGAUCAAAUGUAAUAGGUCAUCCGUGUAUUUCAUGCAUACAAAAAAUCAGCACAAUAAUGGGGCUUGUAUAGAAGCAGCUGCUCAUAAUGAUCAUUGUUGUACAAUCUGGCUAGAAAGAGUUCCUAGAAAUCCUUGAGAAUUACAAACGCAGCUUUCUAACACCGCAGAGGCUUAAUGAUGUGUAUAAUACUUGUGUGAACCGAACAGACUGUUAUAUAUUCAAAUGAAAUGCAGUACCACGGUACUUUGGGCCAAUCACUCGGUUUUUUUAAUGUGGAGAGCGGGGGUGUUUGUAUUGCAUGUGUUCAAUGUCAGCUGUGCAUUUUAAGUCUGUUACCACUUCAUGUGUGUUCAAGGCAAAUGUGUCACCUUUUUAUACUGUUUCCAUGCGUGAAAUAAAUCUUUUUUGUUGCUA